rfam:Arabis alpina cultivar Pajares chromosome 8, whole genome shotgun sequence.
AAUUUUCGACAACGAAUUUCUCAGUUUUCGCAUCGAUGAAUAACGUAACGAAAUGCGAUACUUAGUGUGAAUUGCAAAAUCCCAUGAACCAUCGAGAUAGUUUUUUUUUUCUUGUUAAAGACCAU